rnacentral:rRNA from 1 species
AAGGUUUCCGUAGGUGAACCUGCGGAAGGAUCAUUAAA